CCUCUGGAAAGCCCGUGGCAUGCGCGCCACGGCACCGACGGAGUAAGGCGAGGGAACGCCCCCGCCGAAUCUCUCAGGUCCAUCCGACAGAGG
rnacentral:ncRNA from 1 species